CCAGUUUUUACCAGUUCUCAGAACAUUGUGAGCCAGAAAGAGAAGCUACAGCAGAAGCAUCUUUCACCAGUGGAGUUGUUUGAAGCAAGUUGACCCACGUUUGAAGCCUUCAGUGGACCUGAGCUCGGCGUAAAAAAGGCUGGAGCUGAGCUGAGGUGAAGGUGGCCUGCCAUCACCCAGAUGUGUCAGAGCUGGCUGGCUCUCUGUACUGAACGCCAGGUGUGUCUGGAGUUCUAGAGGGUGGCUGGAAAGAGCCUGAGACAGGAGUUCCACAAGGUCCGUGGCCAUGGCAGUCCCAGGCUCAUGGAAAUCUUCAAGGCAAAGAGAGUCCUCACAGGGCAGGACCUGAUGCCACAAAGGACAUUGAUGAAGAGGAAGAUUGGUGCGGUGGGGAUCCUCUGCCAUGAACGGGAGAACAUCACUCCACACUCACAGUCCCUGCACCAAUACGCUUCCUCAUGGGAAUCAUCGUAGAGGGAAACAUUGUGAUGGACACCGACAGCCUGCCUCAGGCUAAGAACAUUGUCUUUGGACUCGCCUGCGCACUCCGUCUCAACUACGCAAAGUGCAUGAAGAACACCUUUGAUUUUGUUCAACAGGUACUUCUGUAAGAACGAUCUGAAACCUAAACCCCAGACACUCAAGAAUCAGCCUGCAAUGUAAGAUGCGGAAUCUCCUCCUGUCCUUGGAGGUUUUUUGUUUUUUUGUUUACUAUCAGUCUGUGGUUUUGUUGUUUUUGUUGCUGAAAAAAA